CCCUUAGAUGUUCUGGGCCGCACGCGCGCUACACUGAUGCAUUCAACAAGCCUAGCCUUGACCGAGAGGUCCGGGUAAUCUUUGAAACUGCAUCGUGAUGGGGCUAGAUUAUUGCAAUUAUUAAUCUUCAACGAGGAAUGCCUAGUAAGCGUGAUUCAUCAAAUCGCGUUGAUUACGUCCCUGCCCUUUGUACACACCGCCCGUCGCUCCUACCGAUUGAAUAUGUUGGUGAGGAGCUCGGAUUGGCAGCAGUUGGUGGUUCGCCACCGGCUAUUGCUGAGAAGUCCUCCAAACCGCCCCAUUUAGAGGAAGGAGAAGUCGUAACA
rnacentral:rRNA from 1 species